rnacentral:misc_RNA from 1 species
AGACAAGCCAUUUGCCCGUGGAUGGUCACAGUUACAACCAUCAUUAUUCGCAGGCUUAUGCAAUGUCAAAUCAUGUGGAUUCAAAAUCAAAUCAUUAUGGUUCCCCACAUGACCAGAGGAUUAAUUCAGCUGACCGUAGUGGCACAAGCUUAUAUUCGGCACAGGGUUGUAAGACAUACGCUAGCCAGCCGCCACUUCCAG